rnacentral:rRNA from 1 species
ACUCCUGCGGGAGGCAGCAGUGGGGAAUAUUGCACAAUGGGCGCAAGCCUGAUGCAGCCAUGCCGCGUGUAUGAAGAAGGCCUUCGGGUUGUAAAGUACUUUCAGCGGGGAGGAAGGCGAUAAGGUUAAUAACCUUGUUGAUUGACGUUACCCGCAGAAGAAGCACCGGCUAACUCCGUGCCAGCAGCCGCGGUAAUACGGAGGGUGCAAGCGUUAAUCGGAAUUACUGGGCGUAAAGCGCACGCAGGCGGUCUGUCAAGUCGGAUGUGAAAUCCCCGGGCUCAACCUGGGAACUGCAUUCGAAACUGGCAGGCUAGAGUCUUGUAGAGGGGGGUAGAAUUCCAGGUGUAGCGGUGAAAUGCGUAGAGAUCUGGAGGAAUACCGGUGGCGAAGGCGGCCCCCUGGACAAAGACUGACGCUCAGGUGCGAAAGCGUGGGGAGCAAACAGGAUUAGAAACCCGUGUAGUCCCAU